GACGAACGCUGGCGGCGUGCCUAAUACAUGCAAGUAGAACGCUGAAGGAGGAGCUUGCUUCUCUGGAUGAGUUGCGAACGGGUGAGUAACGCGUAGGUAACCUGCCUGGUAGCGGGGGAUAACUAUUGGAAACGAUAGCUAAUACCGCAUAAGAGUAGAUGUCGCAUGACAUUUGCUUAAAAGGUGCAAUUGCAUCACUACCAGAUGGACCUGCGUUGUAUUAGCUAGUUGGUGAGGUAACGGCUCACCAAGGCAACGAUACAUAGCCGACCUGAGAGGGUGAUCGGCCACACUGGGACUGAGACACGGCCCAGACUCCUACGGGAGGCAGCAGUAGGGAAUCCUCGGCAAUGGACGGAAGUCUGACCGAGCAACGCCGCGUGAGUGAAGAAGGUUGUCGGAUCGUAAAGCUCUGUUGUAAGAGAAGAACGAGUGUGAGAGUGGAAAGUUCACACUGUGACGGUAUCUUACCAGAAAGGGACGGCUAACUACGUG
rnacentral:rRNA from 1 species